AUUCGUCCCAAUCCCAUUAUGUUGCCGCUAGUUUAUGAAGCAGCCUAUCAGGGACCAUUCCGUUUUGGACUUUUUAGAUAGCGAAAGCAGCUAUAGUUCUAUUCCUUAUGAUGACGUUGACGAGCUGUAUCCGUCUUUCCUUUUUUGCAUCCCACGCAGUACGAGUCCGUGCAAUAAAGUGUUGACAAUGGAUGCUCAAGGGAACCAUGACUCCUGCUUGCUCGAUUACGUCUUCUCUACCACACCCAGUCAACUUCCCAGCUUCAUUAGCGACAAAUUAGAGUACGUGUCCUACCAGCCUCACCGGGCCCUUUGUCAAUUCGGCGUCGACCAUACUGUUCCUAGGGGUGCUACGGAGGAUCCGCCCCUUAGUGCUCAGAGCUUCUUAACUACCAGGGGACUUUCCUUGUUAGGGGGCGGCAGUCUAGUCCUGCCAGGCGCGCGCACGGUACCUGGCCACCCACUCCGUGACCUUUUCUGAAUACUGGCUCCACAUCGUAUAUCGACUUCUUACCGCAACGGAUAGUGGCCCUCGACCUUGGGUACGCCCUCUUCCGAGGCUGGACAUCAUGCCUGAACGACUCAGGCCUUAUACUCAUGCAUGUGUUAGGAUGUACGCGGUCAAGAACAAAGCUCCUUAUUAGAUCAUCGUUGAUGGGAAAAAGACACGAUUGGUAGGAGAGUUUCCUCCUAGCAUGGACCUGGUGGGAGGGAGUGCACGGAGGCCUGCUAAUGCGCCAGCCUUUUCUUAGCUGACCAAGGCCCGGUCAUGCCUUACCACGAGGGAAUAUGCCCUUGCAGCCUUGUUACCGAGUCGUAAAAGCUAUCGUAUUGCUUCAAAGGCCAGGUCCCGGGACACAGGCUUUGGGGCGGCAGGCGACACACUUAUGAGAGACGAUACCAAUGCUUCCUCCUCUGGCCAGACUCUUUCUCCCAAGAGUGCUGCCACGCGGGUAUAUCUCAUUGCAUUUUAACAUCUCCUUUUCUUUUUUUUUUUGAUACUCACGUGAACGCGCACCUGCUUGAUUAUUCUGGCUUGUCUCUUCUUCCUACUCCUUCUGGCAGAGACCUACUACUGUGGGGGAAGUUCCUGCGGCUAAGGCUGGAAAAUCAAUAAAUGCCCGCUGGUUUAGUAGAAUCUCCGUCACCCUCCCUCGUGCUGUUGGUAGGGAUAAGCGAAAGCCCUCGGAUGCACCUUCUCCCAUGGAGCAUAAUAGGAUUUGUCUGAUGCCCCCAAAAUCCCCAUAAAAAACCUUCAACAGUCCUGAAGCUAACCUGUAGGAGUUCGUGUUUCUCAAGAACCGUCGACGCUCUAAGGGACAGCCUUAAGGAAGGGGGCCACGAUUCUGAAGAAUGUAACGGCAACGCCGUCGUCCUCGAUGGGCUGACUCCUCCAGGCAACAAGGUGGCCUCACUGGUAUGCGUUCAUGCACUCACCUUGCUUUCCUUUUUUUUUAUGCUUUUGUAUGAAGUGGACUUAUUUCGUCACAAUUUCGUACUGCUGAGGAAUCAAUUCCUGUUCUUGCGUUAAGCGAACAGGUCCCUCAAGACCAAGCGGGCGAUGGAGCAAUGAACACCCCUGCCAAUCCCUUUCUUGGGGAAAAGCUUCUUGACAGCCAACCCUGAGACGAAGCGAGUGACAAGAGCUCCACUUCCCACACCGUCACUUUUCCCAUAGAAGGGGUGUCAGCUGCUAAGAUGGACUGUCGGGGUGAGGUGAGCACCUUGGCUACAUCCGGUGCAUGCUCCAACUUCUCCUGGCAUACUGUGAGCGAGGGCGCUCCAUCUGGAGCGUGUUCCUUGUCCCCACGUACCAUUCCUGAGGAGAGUUAUGUUUUGCCUUAUUUCUUUCAUGGCGACGACGGUUCUUGCGGAGCAAACACCCGGACAGAAGAUCACGCGGCGGGACUCCUAAGUGAUCCCAUGCCGGCCUUAGCUGAUAACCCUUUUGGCGGCGAGGGCCAGUUCUCCUUGCGGUGGGAAGCCGACAUAAAUACCUUCUUGCGGUCGUUUGAUACCGCGGACGCAGUUGUCGAGCCUAUGGGGACGACACGAGGGACCUUAACCAUACUGGUAGCUUUUGAAGGGGUUCAAGUGUGUGACUCCUCCUGCCCUAGCGGCGGGUCACCAACCUUAAACUACUACUGAUAGGCUGAGUUAUAGUCUAAUCUAUCACUAGUUAUUAGACUAUCGUCUCUUUAAUUUACGUUUUUCUACGAGUAAAUUUUUUUUUCUUUAACCCUCGGAUUUUUAACAUGUUCCUAGCAUGUUCUUUUGUUAUACAACAACUUAUCCUUGGUAAUACUUUAAGAAAUUGGAUAUGGAACU